AUGGAGUGUCUCAAAUUAACGCCUAAGAAUAAUAUGAAAUGCUCUGAGGCCGCGUUGCAUAAACGGGUGUUUCGCUAUUGAUGGUCGGGAACGGCUCAGGCUGAAUAGUUCUGGGUUGAUGUGGAAUACGUUUUGGGAGCAACUGCUCUAUAGUUUCUUCUAAAUUGGUGCUUGAUGGUUCUCUCCAGAGAAAUCUAGCCACUGCAGUAGUAGUACAGCUCUCCAGGAGGGUUGGCCAACCUUGCUUUUACCAAUUAAGACAAGCAAUCGUGGCAUUUAAAACAUGAGAGUCAUAUUCAACCUUGGAUCAACCCACCCACCAAAUACUGCUUGUGUGAUGGAUAGCCUACAACGUGACUCUAUGCUUGUGUUCAACAUACAAGAUCGCUGCACGAUAGAUAUUCCUCCCAAAGCCAGCAUGGGUUUCUGAGCCAAUUCUCAGGUUACAACCAACAUAAACACUUGAAGUGUGACAUGACCUGGGUGGGUGUGGAGGAAUGCUAAAAAUCCAGCGCAUUUUGUAACACGUCGUAUUUGUGUAUCUGUUUGUUUGUUUCAUUACUCGCUGUUUUUACCAAUGACACUGAUCUAACAUCAGUUUUGCGUUUCUCUCACAAAUGGUCAAGGCUAUACAUUUUGUUGUUCUGUAAAGUGGUCCCAGAUCUGUGCAUAAGGGCAACUUAACCUGAGUGGUAUACCAAGGAUAGGGGAUGGCCUUAACACCCUCUAGUUUACGUUGACGUCACAGGAAGGCGGCUCUCUGCGCGCACAGGUGUUCUCCACAGGUGAUGGCGAGGAAAUGAAAAUGGUGCUUCAUGAAAAACAAGUUAAACUCUCCACUGAAGUUAUUUGACCUCAUCACAGCUUAGGCAUGGCUCAAAACUGCCUGGGGAACUGUGCGCCGUUAUUUUUCCUAGCCGUCGCUUUUGACGUCGGCGGUUUGACAUUGCUUUUAGUUGGUAUUUUCGCGGAUCUAAAGUUGGACGGUCACUUCUACGGUGAUUUCCUCAUCUACACGGGUACACUCAUCAUCUUCCUAAGUCUGGGUUGGUGGAUUUUGUGGUACACGGGCAACAUAAAGGUUUACUCCGAGGACUUUGAGAAAAGCACCCUGGACAACUUUGCGCACUGGGCGAGAAAGUUUUCGGAGCGGCUCUCGAAGAGCGGGAUAAAAACUCUGGAAGCCGGGGAGAAGUGCAUGGUGAAUAGGAAGGAAUCGGUCAACAGAACAGUGGCUGUUCACGCUCCAUCACGAAUUACGUGGGAACACAGCAUCAGCGGACACGACAAUGGAGGAUACGACCGAAGUUUUGACAACCCGCCGAGGGAGAAAACGGUCGAGUUGGGGAUUCUGAAGAACUCUGAAGUGUUAUUGCAAAGCAUCGUGGAUAGCAAAGCGGAGAGGCUUCUCUGACAGAGCUGGUGUUCUCGGAUUCUCCAGUUUGAAAAACGUAUGCCUACUCCAAGCCCUGCUUUUCAAAUCCCAACCGACUGAAUACCUUUUUAGCCUAUAUGAACCAAAGACACUUUUUCAAUAGAGAAUACUAUUUUUGUUCAGGAAGAGGCUGUCUGACACAAUGUCCGGGCCCCUGCACUGAGGAUAGAAAUGGCAGAAUUUUACUUGUAAUUAGCUAAAUAACUAAAAAUGUUAUGUCCUGAAUUUUACAUGGUUCAUUUUGAAGAUAUUUUCUUGAAAUAAAGUUUAGUUUAUUUUUUUUCUAACGUCA